UACGUAGGGUGCAAGCGUUGUCCGGAAUUAUUGGGCGUAAAGAGCUUGUAGGCGGUUUGUCGCGUCUGCUGUGAAAUUUCGGGGCUCAACCCCGAACUUGCAGUGGGUACGGGCAGACUAGAGUGUGGUAGGGAAGACUGGAAUUCCUGGUGUAGCGGUGAAAUGCGCAGAUAUCAGGAGGAACACCGAUGGCGAAGGCAGGUCUCUGGGCCACUACUGACGCUGAGAAGCGAAAGCAUGGGGAGCGAACAGG
rnacentral:rRNA from 1 species